rnacentral:misc_RNA from 1 species
GUUCUUCUCGACCACAUAUAAUAUCCAUAUCGAUAGAGGUAAGGUCCGAACCCCAAACUCCACUUAUGAAAUUACAUCAUCAGGUGCGUUGGGGUUGUCGUCACCUUCUUUUCACAUUAACAUUAGUACAUUCUUUUUUUUUUACUGGACAAAUAAUUGACAGAAGAAGCUUUUGGCAAAAAACACAAUUCACUGGCAUAGUUGUCCCCUUACUUGUACAUGAUUUUCGAGCUUCAAAGGUGAUAUUUUGAUCAACACUUUUAACUAUAAAAUGAGGCAAAACUAUAGUACUGAUAAGUGAUAGCCAAGCUUCCAAGCUCUCAGCAUGAAGGCCUUACUGGCUAGGAACAGCACUUGCAGCUUCUUCUAAGAUUCUUUGGGGUUCGGUGUCAGGUGCAGCAAGCUCACUAGGGGUCUUUCCAUAUACAUUGGUCCUAGAAGGAUAAGCGCCUGAAGCUAGCAAUAAUCUAAUAACAUUUACAUGUUCACCUCUAGCAGCAUGAUGAAGAGGCGUAUCACCUUCUACAUCAACAGACUCCAACAUCCUCUUCACACAAUCAGGAUCAGGGGCACUGUUGAUCAGCAGUUGGGCAAUCUCCAUAUAUCCUCCAGCACAAGCAUCAUGC